rnacentral:lncRNA from 1 species
GAUGUCCAUCACCUCCCAGUACUGUGCUCCAGGGGAUGCCUGCAGGCCUGGGAACUUCACCUACCACAUCCCUGUCAGUAGUGGCACCCCACUGCACCUCAGCCUGACUCUGCAGAUGAACUCCUCCUCCCCCGUGUCUGUGGUGCUGUGCAGCCUGAGGUCAAAGGAGGAACCAUGUGAGGAGGGGAGCCUUCCACAGAGUCUCCACACCCACCAGGACACCCAGGUAGGGCACCUCUCACCGGUGGCCAAUAACCAUCCUGUCCUUCCGUGAAUUCACCUACCACUUCCGGGUGGCACUGCUGGGUCAGGCCAACUGCAGUUCAGAGGCUCUCGCCCAGCCAGCCACAGACUACCACUUCCACUUCUACCGCCUGUGUGACUGAGCUGCCCUCCUGAGGCAGCACCACACCAGGGACCAGGGGUGCCCAGGCACCCCCCAACACUGGAUGCAAUGGUGUUACACUGGAGCCCGCUGCAGGCCAGCUCUGCUGUUCACUGGCCCUACCCGAGACUGGUGAAACUGGAAGUCUUCACACUGGAGUUGCUGUUCCAGCUGGUCGCCCCUCACGGCACAGAGGGAACCUGAGAGCCAGAGACUUCUUGGGCCUUCCUGCCUGCCACCCCCUAGGGGCCAGGACAGGACCAGUUUACCUCUUUCCAGAUAUGGUGGUUGGAGGGCUGGUUCAGGUGCCCUGGAGGGAAGGGGAAGCCUGUGGCCCUGAUUUGUUCAGAGCCCAUUCUCCCUUGCCUCCCCUUUUGAGACUGGAGCCAACCCUUUUGGAGAGAGGACCUGCCCACCUUUGAGAUCAGCAGGGGGCUCGGAUCCAGCCCUAAGAGACUUGGGUGGACCCCCAUGAGUCAAUGGAGGGCAGACGGCUCUCCCCCUUAAAGCUGUUCCCUGGGGGAUGGCUUGGUAGUGGACUUUCUGGGGUUUGCCUGUUACGCCAGACUCGGACUUCUAAGCUUUAAGUGUGGCCCAGGAGGUUUCUUCUCCCUGGGAGGGCUUGGCUCCCAAGAAGUCCCAGGGCAGCCGAGGCCAGCCCUGCCUGGGUUGGAGAAACUGACUUUGUGCCUUAAGUCUACUCAGUGCCUGGUGAAGCCACCCUCAGCCCUUCACAGGCCUGAACCAGUAGGGGCCAGUGGGCCAGGUAAGCCCUAGAGCCUUGAACCAGGAAUAUCCAGGAAGAGGAAAUUCCCUUUGAGCCCCCAGAUGGUAUUGCAGCUUCACUGCCUGCGUUCCUGGGAGCGUCUGGAGCUCACAGUGAUCAGUGACCACAUCAUUCUCUCUGAGCAGAGGAGCAGGAAUCCCUCAAGCAGCAGCCUGGUCUUGGCUGGUGGGCAGAUGCAAAUAGCUUUUGCUGUUAUUAAUGAAGUAAUUACUAAAUGCACUUAAACCAGGGCAGGAAGGAAUGGAAGGAUGGAGCUAGAAAGCUCAGAGUGGGCCAGAGCAGGGGUGUGACACUUGCAAAGACAGGGCUCUGACUCUGAUCCCUCCCAGGGAGCCUCCGACACCCAUCCCACUCCCAACCACCAAGACCCUGGGUUAGGGAAGAAGUUGUAUCUUAAGUGCCACCUUCAAGUUUCUUAGUGGUGCCUGGUGCAUUCCGAGGCUACAUCCAGGCUCAUGGAAGGAGUGUAGUAUUCAUUUAGCCAUGUCUGCCAUGGGUCCAGAAAUGGGAAAGGGAAUUGCUGUCCUUGCCCUGUGGUAUGCUGCCACCUCUUUGGGAAGCAGGCCUUGCCCCUGUCCCACCACUCAUUCUCAGCUUUGAAUGGGAGGCCUUUCUAUAGUGGAGGCCUUUCCUUGAAGCCUAUGAACUGCAGGCCCCCUUUUGCCAUUGAUCUCAAAGCACUUGUCCUCAGGAUAGGGAAGAGCAGGGGGAUGCAGGAAUAGCAGGGAUAGCUUGCUCCCAGCCCCCUCCCCAAUUUGGUUCCGUUGACAUAGGAAUUUUACGAUUCCCAAACCAUGCAGGGGCUGAGCCUUCCUUAUGAUGACUUUGUU